UGUAUGGCACUCCAAAUUCACAAAAUUGAGCUGAAUGUAGUUUCACAAUUGAUGAAUUAGGUUUUUCGACAGAUAACUACAGUUUACGAACCGCAUCCAUAAUUAACGAUCUGUUAAUUAAAGUUUUCAUCUGUAAAACUAUAUUUAACAGUUGUAAACUAUAGUAAACGAAUGAUAAUCUAUGUUUAUCUGUUUGUAGAUAACGUUUACAAUAGAUUUUGCUGAUAAUUAUAGAUUAACAUCUGUAUACUAUAAUUUACAUUAGUUAACUACUUUUGUUGUUAAUCAUAGUUUCACAAUUGUGAAACUAUAAUUAUCAGAUAAACUAUGUUUUGCAAUCGCAAAUGGCUGUUUUCGGUGUUUGUCAUAGUUUAUCACUUCUAAAACAUAAAUGAUCGCGUUAACUAUGAUUUACAGAUGUGAAAUAUGAUUAUCGUCGUUAACUAUACCCUGUAUAUAGUUUUCUGUUGUAAACUAUAGUUUACAAUAGUAAAACCUAGUUUUACUAAUGUGAAAUUACGAUUAGCUCAUUUUGUGAAUUUGGCGUGCCAUACAUUUCAACUCUAAGCUGCCUUUACACCAUUUAUUUCACCUCUCUUAAAAGCUUUCAAAGUAUUAAUAAAGGUACAAUAACAAGGUGUAAUGCAACAACAAUAUUUUUGGACCAUUAUAAUACCAGUCCACAAACAAUAAAACAACUUUUUUUCAAGUUUUUAACAAAGCACACAAGGCUGUUAAUAAAUAAUUUUGCUGUAUGUUUUCGUUUCUGUACCGCAAGUUAUACCAAUAUGUUCUUGUCAUAUAUGACGUAGAAUUGAGGAAAAUUGAAUGAAACUGAAGAGAGAUUGAAUCCAUGUUUGUUUUUAGCUAUGUAUUUCAAUAAACUGGUCAAUAGAAUAUUUUUAUGGACUUCAUGAUGAUUAUUGAUUGCUGUAUGUGCUACAUGUUAUUACCAGUAUGUUCUAUGCUAUAUGUUACUUUACCUUAUAAAUGAGUUUUGUCAGUAUUUGAU
rnacentral:misc_RNA from 1 species